rnacentral:rRNA from 1 species
GACGAGGGAUCCUAGCGUUGUUCGGAAUCAUUGGGCGUAAAGCGGGCGUAGGUGGCUUUAUAAGUCAGGUGUGAAAGCCCCCGGCUCAACUGGGGAGGGUCACGCGAUACUGUUCGACUUGAAGGCAGGAGAGGGAAGUGGAAUUCCCGGUGUAGUGGUGAAAUGCGUAGAUAUCGGGAGGAACACCAGUGGCGAAAGCGGCUACCUGGCCCAUUCUUGACGCUGAGGCGCGAAAGCUAGGGGAGCAAACGGG